rnacentral:tRNA from 1 species
GUUAAGAUAGCUUAAUCCACAAAGCGUAACACUGAAGAUGUUAAUAUGGCAAUCUGUCUCCUAACA